UGUAUGUGUGUGUGUGUGUAUGUGUGUGUGUGCGUGCGGUUUUGGCUGUGAGAGCAACAGUAGGCUUGGAUGUGCUGCCAGUUCAAAGGAACAACAUAUGCUGAGCAACAACAGGGAGAGAGACCUUGUUGUUCUCCACCCUCCUUUUAUAUCACUCGCUUUUUUCAAUAUCUGUGCACAGUAAAGCAGAAGGAAGUGCUUUUUACAGAGGGAUUGGAGUGCAUGACAAUGAAAAUGGGAGGGGGGAGAGAGAGACAGAGAGAGAGAGAGAAAGAGAGAGAUAGAUAGAGAGAGAGAUUGUUUUGGCAAUGUAAACAUAUGUUUCCCAUGCCAAUAUAGCAUCUACAAAUUGAACUGAGAGAAAGAGAUUGACAGGAGGAGGAGGAAGAAGAGGAGGAGGACUGCACUUACAGACCGAGCAGAGAUGGGAUGGAAUACUACCUCAACAAAUGGAAGCAGCAGUUAAUCAAGACAUCUCCCAGAUGGUCGGUGAACAGGGACACCUACUUCGUCACACCACGACCAGCUGGCUCAUUUGCGAACGACUAUGGAUGAGUGUCUUCAACGAGUCGACAUUAGCAUUGCCCGAUUGUCCCUCCCGGACAAAUAUGACGGGACUCCAUCGAGAUGCCGUGGCUUCCUCCUCCAGUGAUCCCUCUGUUUCACGCAUCAGUUGGGAGCCCCCACCACCGAGAAGUACAAGGUUGCAACAGUUAUUUCUCUGCUGACCGGACGGGCGUUGGAGUGGGCCACGGCCUUCUGGGAGAGAGGAGAGGAAGAGCCACAUCAAGAAAUCCUUUCCUUCCUCAUCAUCACCGUACCCGUACAUACGAUCAUCAUAACCCCACAAUCUCAUUGCCGAGGAUGAAAAUCACAGAUUGGGCACCCAAAUGCCGGAAGACCUGCUUACCCUUUCCCUGUGGUUCCACAUCGGUUGAGAGUCCUGUGGUUGUCCUUCAGCCCAACAUCCCAGAGGUAUACCAAGAUCUUCGGGAGUUCUUUUUCCAAGACCUGCACCACCUGUCUCACUCCUCAUCGCCCCUGGGACUGUGCCAUCAACUUCCUUGCAGGCUCUGUGCCUCUGCACGGCCGCAUCUACCCUCUGUCUGUGGCCGAAACCAAGGCUAUGGAGGAGUACAUCCAGGAGGCUCUCCAGCAGGGUUUCAUUUGCACGUCCACCUCCCCUGCAUCGGUAGAAUUCAUCUUCAUGACCAAGAAGGACGGAGGACCCUCUCGAGUCGUAGCCCCUGUGCUCUGGGAUGUAGAUGUGGACAUUCACCAAGCCCUGGAGAGGGAAACCGCACCUGCCACCUGUCCUCCUGAGCGCACCUACAUUCCCACAGGCAUAAGGGAUUGGCUAUUGACCUGGGCAUACACAGCUGUCGUCGCUGAACAUCCAUGUAUUACCCGCACCAUUCAGUUCAUCUCUGGAAAGUCCUAAUGGCCCACCUUGGUGCAGGACGUCACUCGAAAUGUCAACUCCUGUUCCAUAUGUGCCUAAUCCAAAUCCCCUCGGAACGCUCCAGCAGGGAAACUACUCCCCGUGCCUCAGCAUCCCUGGUCUCAUCUGUCCAUUGACUUUGUCACUGAUCUCCCCUCUUCUGAUGGUUUUACCACCAUUUUGUGAUAGUGGACAGAUUCUCUAAAUCAUGCCGUUUCAUCCCUCUCUUUGGUCUCUCUACUGCUCUCUAGGUUGCUGAGGCACUGUCCCAGCAGGUAUUCCGGCACUAUUGCCUUCGGGAGAAUAUCGUCUCUGAUCGUGGUCCCUAAUUCACAUCACCUGUAUGGAAGGCUUUCAUGGAGAAGAUGGAGGUCACAGUCAGCCUCACUUCCGGGUACCGGCCCCAAUCUAACGGGCAGGUGGAGAGGAUGAACCAGGAGCUGGCCCAAUUCCUUCCUUGGGCUGAAUACACCAAUAAUUUAUUGUGACACUCCUCCACCUGGCUGACUCCCUUCCGGUCUGUUCGGGGUUAUCAGCCAGCCCUAGCUCAGUGGUCUCUGAGCCAGACCAAAGCUCCUGUGGUGGACGAGUGGUUCAGGCACGCAGAAGAGGUAUGGAACGAUACCCACGUGAGACUCCAGCGCACCGUUCGUCAUCAGAAAGAGCAGGCGGCUCGCCACCUCAGUGAGGCUCGCAUGUUCCAUCCUGGUGAUCUCGUCUGGCUCUCCACCAGGAACCUUCCGCUCCGCCUGCCUAGCUGGUGGUUCCUGGUCCCCCACGACACCCCUCCACCUCUCUUGGACAUCAAGGGGAGCCCCGCCUAUGCCAUUAGAUCACUCCUGGACUCCUGACGUUGUGGGGGUCGGCUCCAGUACCUGGUGGACUGGGAGGGGUACGGUCCAGAGGAGCGGUGUUGGGUUCCAGUGGACGACAUUCUAGAUUCCAACAUCAACAGAGAUUUCUACAUUUGCCGUCCGGACCGGCCCGCUCCUUGCUUUCGGGGCCGUCUUCCUGAAUGGUGUCAUCCUGCGGCUGGAGCCGUGUGUCAGGGGGGUACUGUCACGUCCACUCCCGGUCCCCUGCUCCGGCGCUCGAUGUCACCGGUCUACUAACCACCGGUCCAGCCAACCCAUCUUUACGCACACAUAGCAACCAUCAACACGCAGACCUGCGUCUCAUCAUCAGUCACACCUGGACUUAAUUACUCCCUUUAUUUAGCACUCUUUGUUAUAGAGCAGGCAGUAUUGUUUCUGUUUCAAUGUUAGAUGCUUCUCUUGUUUUGUAGCAUUCCAUGUUCUUUGUUUUUAAACUCACUAACUGCACCUGCUUCCUGACUCCCUGUGUCUACGUAACAUGUGGCAUAUCAAGAAGCUGAUUAAACAGUAUGAUCAUUAUACAGGUGCACAUUGCGCUGGGGACAAUAAUAGGCCACUCUAAAAUUAUCCGUUUUGUCACACAACAACAAUGCCACAGAUGACUCAAGUGUUGAGGGAGCAUGCAAAUUGGCAUGCUGACUGCAGGAAUGUUACCAGAGCUGUUACCAGAAAAUUGAAUGUUAUUUUCUGUACCAUAAGCCUCUUCCAAUGUCGUUUUAGAGAAUUUGGCAGUACGUCCAAUCAUCCUCACUACCACAGACCAUUUGUAACCACGCCAGCCCAAGACCUCCACAUCUGGCUUCUUCACCUGAGGGAAUGUCUGAGACCAACCAGCUGGACAGUUGAUGAAACUGACAAUGACCCAACACACCUCCAGGCUGUGUAAGGGCUAUUUUACCAAGAAGGAGAGGGAUGGAAUGCUGCAUCAGAUGACCUGGCCUCCACAAUCACCCAACCUCAACCUAAUUGAAAUGGUUUGGUGUGCGUCAGACCGCAGAGAGAAGGAAAAGAAGCCAACAAGUGCUUAGCAUAUGUGGGAACUCCUUCAAGACUGUUGGAAAAGCAUCCCAGGUAAAGCUGGUUGAGAGAAUGCCAUGCAUGUGCAAAGCUGUCAUCAAGGCAAAGGGUGGCUAUUUGAAGAAUCUCAAAUAUAAAAUAUAUUUUGAUUUGUUUAACACUUUUUUGGUUACUACAUGAUUCCAUAUGUGUUAUUUCAUAGUGUUGAUGUUCUCACUAUUCACUACAAUGUAGAAAAUAGUAAAAAUAAAGAAAAACCAUUGAAUGAGUAGGUGUUCUAAAACUUUUGACUGGAAGCGUAUAUUUUUUUGUCCCACCAAGAUUUACGUGCUAAAAUCGCCACUGAUUCCCAGUCAUGUGAAAUCCAUAGAUUAGGCCCUAAAGAAUGUAUUUCAAUUGACUGAUUUCCUUAUGUGAACUGUAACUAACGUCUUUGACAUUUUGCUUUUAUAUUUUUGUUCAGUGAUUUAAGAGAGAAAAAGAUGAGUGGCAAUAACACUGCAGGGUUCUCCUCCAUUGCCUUUGACUCAUUCACUCACUCACUCACUCACUCACUCACUCACUCACUCACUCACUCACCCCCUUC